AAGAUUCCUCUAAUCUGACGGUCACAAAUUGUGCACCCUCAGAUAUCGCGCCCAAUUCUCGGUCUUUUGACUAAGACCACCGAACUCUUCAUGCGCAGUCUCUUGUUUCUGAUCAAACCCUAGCACUUGCAGGUGAAACAAACCCCGAUCUCCGUCUCCGACUAUGGCUCCCAAACGUCCGUCACCGUUGGAUGAGCCUCCGGCAGCGUCUUCCUCCGAAGAAGAAGAAACCUCAUCUGGUGAGGAAGAGGAAGGCAUGUCCAGAGACGGAUCUUCCUCUGAAGACGAAGAGGAUGAAGAAGAAACUCAAGCUCAGGUUCAGACUCAGGCUCAGACUCAGACUCAGACUCAGACUCAGAAACCGAAGAAGCUUUUUGCUCUUCCUUCCACUCCUGUUGUCGAGAAAAAAACCGCACCUAAGAAAUCUGAACUUGCUUCUAACUCCGUGGCUCAGUCUUCUUCCUCAGAGAGCGGCUCCGGAUCCGACACCGAUUCGGAUACUGAGUCCGGAGGAAACGUCAAGCCGAUUGCUUCUAAGCCGAUGGAAGAGACUCCAAAGGUGAAAAAGCCCAGAUCCAAGCCUUCCACCUCAGCUACGCCUGUGGCGAGAUCGUCUUUGAAGAGGCCUAUUGAGACGAUAAGAGAUGGAAAACGGCCAAAGAAGAGUUCUGAGGCUGACGCUGAUGAUGGGGUUGUGGCGGAAGACGAUUCCAAGAAAUCUGUUGACGAGUCCAAAAAGCUUUUUCAGAGACUGUGGAGUGAGGACGACGAGAUUGCUAUACUGAACGGUAUAAUUGAAUAUUCAGCCAAGAAGGGUGCUGACCCAGCUUUGGAUAUGAAUGCAUUUCAUGAUUUCAUCAAGAAAUCUCUUCAUGUCGACGUAACCAGAGUCCAAUUAGUGGAUAAGGUACGUCGACUGAGGAAGAAAUAUAGGAACAAUGUCGAUAGAGGGAAGAAGGGUGCAGACCCAACGUUUUCAAAGGCCCACGACCGGAAAGGUUUUGAACUGUCAAAGAAAAUAUGGGGCGGCGAAGGAAUUAUCCGAACUUCGGUUGUGGAGCAGCCCAAGCCAAAUGCUAAUGGCACUCCGAAGAAGAAUCAAAGAGGUAACACCAGCAAGUCACUAGCUUCACUGAAAGUUGAGUUGCUUCCUUCUCCAGAGGCCCCGAAGGAGGAUGAUAAGAUGAAAGUCGAUGAUAGCGAGGCUCCUUCAGGCUGCAUGGAUGGUUUUGUUGCCUUUGAAAGGUCUUUGGGUGCUGUUGGCUUGCCGGAAAGUUUUUUGAAGCCAGGAUUAGAGUUAAUUGGGCAAUCCAAGAGAACAGAGCUGGAGGAGGAGUGGAAGAAAUUGCAUCUUGCGGAACUGGAGCUUUUUCUGAAGAGGACGGAGUUGAUUAGGGACCAGACGAAGUUGAUACUGGACGCGUACAAGUCAUCUAGCAAGUAAGGAAUUGAAGUUUGGACAAGAGUAUAACUUCCAGACCAUGAUCUUACGCAAUUUCAUAACUUCGCGUCUCUUUAGUAUGAAUGUAGUUAUAUUUAAACAGAACUCUUGAGAAAUGGUUAACGAAAAGAUUCUUCUUAAGAGUUCUCCGAACCAAGAUAAUGCAUAUUUUAUAACUCCGAAUAGGAGGAAUAUCAUUUUAUAUGGGCAUAGAAUGGUUUCAAGAAUUUGGGAGUAGUAUCUAGCUACGAAUUGAAGUAACAUGCAGAAGUUGAAAAUGGUCCAUUGCACAAGAUCUUACAGCUGAAACUGAAAAAGAAAGUGAAGUUCAUUGAUCGCGUUUUUUUAGAACAUGAAGAUCAAAGAACUAGACGUGGCCUGUAGCUCUGGCAGGAUUCCCGUGGUUGUGGCAGCUUUGUCUCCUCCGUGUUCUGCUGUGAUUGAAACAUAAUAUGCAACUGCUGAUGGGUCGUGCACGAAGCACAGACAAAAGUUGAUUGUGAGCAAGCCCGCAUGACUUUCUCGACCUUGUGUUAUACAUUGCCCGGGAGAUAAGCAAGGAGAAUCCAACCACUAGUGCAAUCUUGAUGUAAUUGUGAUUCAUAAACAUUAGAUUCAACAAGGUUUGGAUUCGUCUAGUUUGUGUGUGUUUUCAGACAAGUCUAAUAGGACUUUUGGAGAUCUCCCAAAUUGCAACCUUGAAUACUAAGGAAGGAACAUUAAGAGGGAAGGUAAGACACUUACCAUGCAAA